CUGGACCAAAGUGCCCCUAUAGGAAGAACCAGACGAGCCAGUGCACAUGGCUUUAAAAUUGGAAACGGUGAUGGGGACAAGAUUGCCGUAGAGGCCGAGGACGAGGCGGCCGAUGGGCUCGGAGUCGGAGCAGAGGGAGAGCUCGUCACCGAGAGUCCGAUUUUGGAAGAAAGAUGGACAGGUGCUGAAUUCCAUGAAGAUUCUGUCGGUGACGGUGGUGUCCGGUGAUAGUGGUGGGGCCGCGAUGGAGGAGAGCGGGAAGAGGGUGGUGGUGGAUAGGAAGAGGAGGGAGCGGCGCGUGAGCUGAACGUUUGAAUUGGGAUUGAGUUUAGGGGUGUUGUGGUGGUGGGGUAGGAGAGGUGAAGGAAGGAGGGUGGCGGUGCAGCCCAUGAUGACGGUGGUGCAUGGUGGAGAGAUAGAAGCAGAGUAAAUGAGGUGAGAGAAAGAGGAGGGACGUGGAUGUGUGAACAUCAGAGAACUCACUGAGGUAAGUGGACUAGCACCAGCUUGUGAUGAUCUAUCUGAUUGGAAGAACUUUUGUGAUAUUUCUUCUCUAAAAAUC
rnacentral:lncRNA from 1 species